rnacentral:rRNA from 1 species
GACGAACGCUGGCGGCGGGCCUAAUACAUGCAAGUAGGACGAGUUGCGAACGGGUGAGUAACGCGUGGUAACCUACCUAUUAGAGGGGGAUAACUAUUGGAAACGAUAGCGAAUAACGCAUACCAUAAGAUGUGCCCAGAUGGGAUUAGCUAGUAGGUGGGGUAAUGGCUCACCUAGGCGACGAUCCCUAGCUGGUCUGAGAGGAUGACCAGCCACACUGGAACUGAGACACGGUCCAGACUCCUACGGGAGGCAGCAGUGGGGAAUAUUGCACAAUGGGCGCAAGCCUGAUACAGCCAUGCCGCGUGUGUGAAGAAGGCCUUCGGGUUGUAAAGCACUUUCAGCGAGGAGGCGUUAUUCGCAGAAGAAGCACCGGCUAACUCCGUGCCAGCCGCCGCGGUAAUAC